rnacentral:tRNA from 3 species
GCGUCCAUUGUCUAAUGGAUAGGACAGAGGUCUUCUAAACCUUUGG